rnacentral:rRNA from 1 species
ACAGAGUCGCCACGGUAAAACAGAGGGUGCGAGCGUUAAUCGGAUUUACUGGGCGUAAAGCGUGCGUAGGCGGCUUCUUAAGUCGGAUGUGAAAUCCCUGAGCUUAACUUAGGAAUUGCAUUCGAUACUGGGAAGCUAGAGUAUGGGAGAGGAUGGUAGAAUUCCAGGUGUAGCGGUGAAAUGCGUAGAGAUCUGGAGGAAUACCGAUGGCGAAGGCAGCCAUCUGGCCUAAUACUGACGCUGAGGUACGAAAGCAUGGGGAGCAAACAGGAUUAGAUACCCCCGUAGUCCCUGUCUCUUAUACA